rnacentral:rRNA from 1 species
GGNUUUAUUGGGCGUNAGCGAGCGCAGACGGUUGAUUAAGUCUGAUGUGAAAGCCCGGAGCUCAACUCCGGAAUGGCAUUGGAAACUGGUUAACUUGAGUGCAGUAGAGGUAAGUGGAACUCCAUGUGUAGCGGUGGAAUGCGUAGAUAUAUGGAAGAACACCAGUGGCGAAGGCGGCUUACUGGACUGUAACUGACGUUGAGGCUCGAAAGUGUGGGUAGCAAACAGGAUUAGAUACCCUGGUAGUCCACACCGUAAACGAUGAACACUAGGUGUUAGGAGGUUUCCGCCUCUUAGUGCCGAAGCUAACGCAUUAAGUGUUCCGCCUGGGGAGUACGACCGCAAGGUUGAAACUCAAAGGAAUUGACGGGGACCCGCACAAGCGGUGGAGCAUGUGGUUUAAUUCGAAGCAACGCGAAGAACCUUACCAGGUCUUGACAUCCUUUGAAGCUUUUAGAGAUAGAAGUGUUCUCUUCGGAGACAAAGUGACAGGUGGUGCAUGGUCGUCGUCAGCUCGUGUCGUGAGAUGUUGGGUUAAGUCCCGCAACGAGCGCAACCCUUAUUGUUAGUUGCCAGCAUUCAGAUGGGCACUCUAGCGAGACUGCCGGUGACAAACCGGAGGAAGGCGGGGACGACGUCAGAUCAUCAUGCCCCUUAUGACCUGGGCUACACACGUGCUACAAUGGCGUAUACAACGAGUUGCCAACCCGCGAGGGUGAGCUAAUCUCUUAAAGUACGUCUCAGUUCGGAUUGUAGUCUGCAACUCGACUACNUGAAGUCGGAAUCGCUAGUAAUCGCGGAUCAGCACGCCGCGGUGAAUACGUUCCCGGGUCUUGUACACACCGCCCGUCACACCAUGGGAGUUUGUAAUGCCCAAAGCCGGUGGCCUAACCUUUUANGAAGGAGCCGUCUAAGGCANGACAGAUGACUGGGGUGAANUCGUACAG